rnacentral:rRNA from 1 species
GUGAGGAAUCUUGCGCAAUGGGGGAAACCCUGACGCAGCAACGCCGCGUGAGUGAUGAAGGCCUUCGGGUCGUAAAGCUCUGUCAGAUGGGAAGAAAGUUUCGGCGGUGAACAAUCGCCGGGAUUGACGGUACCGUCAGAGGAAGCACCGGCUAACUCCGUGCCAGCAGCCGCGGUAAUACGGAGGGUGCAAGCGUUGUUCGGAAUCAUUGGGCGUAAAGAGCGUGUAGGCGGUCGGGUAAGUCAGAUGUGAAAUCCCUUGGCUUAACCAAGGAAGGGCAUUUGAAACUGCCCGGCUUGAGUACGGGAGGGGGAAGUGGAAUUCCCGGUGUAGAGGUGAAAUUCGUAGAUAUCGGGAGGAACACCGGUGGCGAAGGCGGCUUCCUGGACCGAUACUGACGCUGAGACGCGAAAGCGUGGGGAGCAAACAGGAUUAGAUACCCGGGUAGUCC